GUAAGCUAAUAAGAGCAAAUGGUGGAUGCCUUGGCAGACAAAGGCGAUGAAGGACGUACUAGACUGCGAUAAGCUACGAGGAGCCGUCAAGGGGCAUUAAUUCGUAGAUUUCCGAAUGGGGCAACCCAAUACAUAGAGAUAUGUAUUACCAUAUAUGGAGCGAACGUUGGGAAUUGAAACAUCUUAGUACCAACAGGAAAAGAAAUCAAUAGAGAUUACGCUAGUAGCGGCGAGCGAAAGCGUAAGAGGGCAAACCACUAGUUUACUAGUGGGGUUGUAGGACUGCAACAAAGACUAAGCAAAGAUAGUAGAACAAGUUGGAAAGCUUGAGCGUAGAGGGUGAUACUCCCGUACAUAAAAUCUUUACUUUACUUAGCAGUAUCCUGAGUAGGGCGAGACACGUGAAAUCUUGUCUGAAGCUGGGUCGACCACGAUCCAACCCUAAAUACUAAUGUCUGACCGAUAGUGUACAAGUACCGUGAGGGAAAGGUGAAAAGAACUGAGGUGAUCAGAGUGAAAUAGAACCUGAAACCAUUUGCUUACAAUCAUUCAGAGCCCUAUGUAGCAAUACAGGGUGAUGGACUGCCUUUUGCAUAAUGAGCCUGCGAGUUGUGGUGUCUGGCAAGGUUAAGCUAACGUGAAGCCGUAGCGAAAGCGAGUCUUAAUAGGGCGAUAAGUCAGAUGCUGCAGACCCGAAACGAAGUGAUCUAUCCAUGAGCAGGUUGAAGCUAGUGUAAGAACUAGUGGAGGACCCAACCGACGGCCAUUGAAACGGCUCCGGAUGACUUGUGGAUAGGGGUGAAAGGCCAAUCAAACUUCGUGAUAGCUGGUUCUCUCCGAAAUAUAUUUAGGUAUAGCGUUGUGUAGUAGCUAUAAGGGGUAGAGCACUGAAUGGGCUAGGGCAUACACCAAUGUACCAAACCCUAUCAAACUCCGAAUACUUAUAGUGUAAUCACAGCAGUCAGGCGGCGAGUGAUAAAAUCCGUCGUCGAGAGGGGAACAACCCAGACUACCAGCUAAGGUCCCUAAAUCUUAUUUGAGUGGAAAACGAUGUGAAGUUACUUUAACAACCAGGAGGUUGGCUUAGAAGCAGCCAUCCUUUAAAGAAAGCGUAAUAGCUCACUGGUCUAGUGAUUUUGCGCGGAAAAUAUAACGGGGCUAAAAUAAGUACCGAAGCUGUAGACCCAAGCCUAGCUUGGGUGGUAGGAGAGCGUUCUAUAGGCGUUGAAGAUGUACCGGUAAGGAGCGUUGGAGCGUAUAGAAGUGAGCAUGCAGGCAUGAGUAGCGAUAAUUAAUGUGAGAAUCAUUAACGCCGUAAACCCAAGGUUUCCUACGCGAUGCUCGUCAUCGUAGGGUUAGUCGGGUCCUAAGCAAAGUCCGAAAGGGGUAUGCGAUGGAAAAUUGGUUAAUAUUCCAAUACCAACAUUAUUGUGCGAUGGAAGGACGCUUAGGGCUAAGCAAGCUAGCGGAUGGAAGUGCUAGUCUAAGGUAGUAGGUUGUUAUACAGGCAAAUCCGUAUAACAUUAGACCGAGAACUGAAAGGCUUUCUGAAGUCUUCGGAUGGAAGGAAGAAUUGCUGAUGCCGUCGAGCCAAGAAAAGUUUCUAAGUUUAGAUAAUGUUGCCCGUACCGUAAACCGACACAGGUGGGUGGGAUGAGUAUUCUAAGGCGCGUGGAAGAACUCUCUUUAAGGAACUCUGCAAAAUAGCACCGUAUCUUCGGUAUAAGGUGUGG
rnacentral:rRNA from 1 species